GGGGGUGAAUGGCAUCGACUUGGAGAUCGAGUACUUGUUGCAUGCAGGGGAUGUCGGUUGGCCCCUUAAAAAAUCCGGCAAAAAAAAUAACUGUCGAAGAAAAUUCGUACGAGUUAGAUCUAGUAGCUGCCUAAUUUAGCGGUUGCGAGGUACUCUUUCGCCUGACCGGGUGUGAGGGAGAUGCCUUUAUUGACUCGGUAUGACUUAGAUUCUCUGCCUUCUAGGAGCUAAGUCGAGACUUAUAGGGGUAGACUUUUUCCUAGUGGUGUGCUUCGCAUCGGGAAGAAGUCAAUUUACGAAGCACUAAGCAUGUAGACGCAUUUAUGACGUCGUUCAAGGACGAGAGUUCGAAUCUCUCCACCUCCAACG
rnacentral:tmRNA from 1 species